rnacentral:tRNA from 1 species
UUCUGGGUAAAUGAGAGAAUACUGUGCCAGACGGGCUCACAACCCGAAGGUCGCAGGUUCAAAUCCUGCCCCAGCCACCA